AAAGAGAAGCUUGCGGCUGAUUAGCUUGUUGGUAAGGUAAUGGCUUACCAAGGCGACGAUCAGUAUCUGGUUUGAGAGGACGAUCAGACACACUGGAACUGAGACACGGUCCAGACUCCUACGGGAGGCAGCAGUGGGGAAUUUUCCGCAAUGGGCGAAAGCCUGACGGAGCAACACCGCGUGAGGGAUGAAUGCCUAUGGGUUGUAAACCUCUUUUUUCAGGGAGGAACAAAAUGACGUGUACCUGAAGAAUAAGCAUCGGCUAACUCCGUGCCAGCAGCCGCGGUAAGACGGAGGAUGCAAGUGUUAUCCGGAAUCACUGGGCGUAAAGCGUCUGUAGGUGGUUUAAUAAGUCAACUGUUAAAUCUUGAGGCUCAACCUCGAAACCGCAGUCGAAACUAUUAGACUAGAGUAUAGUAGGGGU
rnacentral:rRNA from 1 species